rnacentral:rRNA from 1 species
CAGCCGCCGCGGGAAUACGUAGGGCGCAAGCGUUGUCCGGAAUUAUUGGGCGUAAAGAGCUCGUAGGCGGUCUGUCGCGUCUGGUGUGAAAUCCCGAGGCUCAACCUCGGGCUUGCAUCGGGUACGGGCAGACUAGAGUGCGGUAGGGGAGACUGGAAUUCCUGGUGUAGCGGUGGAAUGCGCAGAUAUCAGGAGGAACACCGAUGGCGAAGGCAGGUCUCUGGGCCGCAACUGACGCUGAGGAGCGAAAGCAUGGGGAGCGAACAGGAUUAGAUACCCGUGUAGUCCCUGUCUCUUAUAU